AAAAAAUCAGAUCAUACCAAACCAAAAUCCACAACCAUAUUUGGUCUUCAACCAAAGAAACUUCGAUUUCGUAAAACCAAAAAUCCAUAGAACGCACAUUCGGUCUUCAACCAGAGAACCUUGUGUUUUGUAACCACCUGUAUACGACGAAACAAUUGCAAAUCUUGCAAUCCAGUUCAUGAAACCUAUUACUGUUACCAACUGCUUCCAGGGCAUAUCUCCAUUUUACAUGAUGCCUUCUGAGGAUGUGCAUUAAGUCCUCAGAAUGGAGAUAAUUCCCCUGGAAGUUUGAGGAACCAUAGUCCUGUCUGGAUGCCAUUAUAUGAUUUAAAUAUGCUAAGAACCUGAAGAUGACUUCUGAACCCAUACUUGUUUCUCGUGACCACCAGCAACACCUCUUUUGGAUGGCUUCCCUUCAUUUGGGUUCAAAGACCCAUCAUCCUUCAUAACAUGGCCAGCCCCACGACGUCCAGCAUGCCUUACAGAACCAUUCUCCACUGAACUGUUACGCCCACUCAUUGUUGUUGUAACAUCCCCAGCCCUGCUUCCAUGAAUAUCUUCUUUCAUUUCCCCACGGUAUGCUUCAACCGAGUCAGAAAGCAAAUGACUAGAUUGUGAAACAGAGGAUUCCUCAAGUUGUGAGACUGAUGCAUCUGAACGACUGCGUGGUGCCCAGACCCCACGAUCAGGUCUAUCUUUGUUUCUUAUUCGUUUUUCUUGCUUCUCACUAGCACUACCCAGGCCAUGAAGUUCCUUUUUACUAAACUUACUGUCUGGAGC
rnacentral:misc_RNA from 1 species